rnacentral:rRNA from 1 species
AAACUAGGAUUAGAUACCCUAUUAUUAGUGGGGCUAUCUUGGAAAGUAUAUAAAUAUUAUGAAAGCAAAAAAUUAUGGCGGUAUCUUAAGCUUUUCAGAGGAAUUUGCUCUAUAAUGGAUAAAACACCUUAAUCUUACUUUAAUUGGUGUAAAAACAGUUUGUAUACCACUAUUAAAAUAAUAAUAUACAAUUAUUAUUAAAGUAUAUUAUUUAUGUAUUUAAAUAAAGUUAAGUCAAGGUGCAGCAAAAAUUAAAGUAUGAAGUGAAUUACACUGCUUUUUAGAUAAGAAAAUGAAAAUAAGUUUAGGAUUUGAAAGUAAAAUUAAAAUAGGAAGUUAAUUUGAAUUAAGCUCUAGGAUAUGUACACAUCGCCCGUCGCUCUCAUU